GGUCUUUCCUCAUUAACAAGACAACCAUGGACAGCCACACCGUCCUGAAGGACAGGAAAAAGCCAGCAGACACUCCAAACUCGCCAGUGCUGAUUGGAAAGGACAAUACAUGUUUCUCUGCCCUCGCUGGACACCCUCUCAGUAGGAUUGUGGCAUAGGCACAUAUCUGGCCCACAUGCUCCUGCAACAAUCACCGCCUAACUACGUUCAGCCUACCAUGGAAACAAAAGUUGGACAGAGUUCUGGG
rnacentral:lncRNA from 1 species